CAGCCGCCGCGGGAAUACGGAGGGUGCAAGCGUUAUCCGGAUUUAUUGGGUUUAAAGGGUCCGUAGGCGGAUCUGUAAGUCAGUGGUGAAAUCUCACAGCUUAACUGUGAAACUGCCAUUGAUACUGCAGGUCUUGAGUAAAUUUGAAGUGGCUGGAAUAAGUAGUGUAGCGGUGAAAUGCAUAGAUAUUACUUAGAACACCAAUUGCGAAGGCAGGUCACUAAGAUUUAACUGACGCUGAUGGACGAAAGCGUGGGGAGCGAACAGGAUUAGAGACCCGCGUAGUCCCUGUCUCUUAUAC
rnacentral:rRNA from 1 species